rnacentral:tRNA from 1 species
GGGGCCGUAGCUCAACUGGGAGAGCGCCAAAACCCAACCACACCAUCCGCCAAAGUUCCAGCCUGGCGGGGCUGAGUUUUGUGAGGUUGUAGGUUCAAAUCCUGCCGGCUCCA